UACGUAGGGUGCUAGCGUUGUCCGGAUUUAUUGGGCGUAAAGGGCUCGUAGGCGGCGUGUCACGUCGGGAGUGAAAGCCCGCUGCUUAACGGCGGGUUGGCUUCCGGUACGGGCAUCGCUGGAGUGCGGCAGGGGAGACUGGAAUUCCUGGUGUAGCGGUGGAAUGCGCAGAUAUCAGGAGGAACACCGGUGGCGAAGGCGGGUCUCUGGGCCGUUACUGACGCUGAGGAGCGAAAGCGUGGGGAGCGAACAGG
rnacentral:rRNA from 1 species